GUCAAUAACUCCUAAAUCAAUUAUCCAAGAGCUUGAAAAGGACUUACUUGAGGCACUAAAAGCAAGAGAGAAAGGAAACUUACCUAAAUGUGCAAGAGAUCAACACUCAUAGGCUUCUCCAAUGAACCCAAUUUUUUUUUUCAGCUUUUCAACGUCCUCCUGAUUCAAUUCUCCAAGUUUUGUGUUAUUAUACUUUGCUUGUUCCUCUUAAGAAUUAUCAACAUUAGCUACAUACACCUUGG
rnacentral:lncRNA from 1 species